UACGUAGGGUGCGAGCGUUAAUCGGAAUUACUGGGCGCAAAGCGUGCGCAGGCGGUUUUGUAAGUCAGAUGUGAAAUCCCCGGGCUUAACCUGGGAACUGCGUUUGAAACUACAAGGCUAGAGUGUGGCAGAGGGGGGUGGAAUUCCACGUGUAGCAGUGAAAUGCGUAGAGAUGUGGAGGAACACCGAUGGCGAAGGCAGCCCCCUGGGUUAACACUGACGCUCAGGCACGAAAGCGUGGGGAGCAAACAGG
rnacentral:rRNA from 1 species